AUGAGGAAAAAUUGGGAUUUUUUAUCAGUGGAAAAUGAGGAAAAAUCUGGUUUUUUAUCCAUGGAAAAACGGGGAAAAUUCCGUCCAAAAAAAUUCCCGGAGCGCGGAUCCCGCUCAUCCCAAAUUUCCCUCCCUCGAUCCCAAAUUUCCCUCCCUCAUCCCAAAUUUCCCUCCCAAAAUUCCCAUUUUUUUAUUCCACACGGAUCAAGUGCAAAAUUUCCCUCCCAAAAUUCCCAUUUUUUUAUUCCACACGGAUCAAGUGCAAAAAUUCCCGUUUUAUUCAGCCGAGCCACAAAAAUAAACCAAAAAAUUGGGAAUUUUUUUUUUGGGGGAGGGAAUUCCCAAAUUUUGGGGAAGAUCUCUCGAAUAAUUGAUCCAAAUUUGGGGGGUCCUGGGGGGAUUUUGGGGAAAUUUUUUUGGGAAUUUUUUGGGAUUUUUUGGGGGUUUUUUUGGGGACUUUUGUGGAAUUUUUUGGGGAUUUUUUGGGAUUUUUUUGGGGAAUUUUUGGGGAUUUUUGUGGAUUUUGGGGAUUUUUUUGGGAUUUUUUUGGGGUUUUUUGGGGAUUUUUGGGGGGAUUUUUUUGGAUUUUUUUUUAUUUUUUGGGGAGUUUUUUGGGGUUUUUUGGGAAAUUUUUGGGGAAUUUUCUGGGAUUUUUUUGGGGUUUUUGUGGGAUUUUUUAGGGAUUUUUUGGGGAUUUUUUGGGAAUUUUUUAGGGAUUUAUUUGGGGAUUUUUUAGGAUUUUUUGGGGAUUUUUUUUGAAUUUUCUGGGAUUUUUUGGGGGAUUUUUUGGGGUUUUUUUGGAUUUUUUUGGGAGUUUUUGGUUUUUUUUUUUAAUUUUUUUUUAAUUUUCUGGAUUUUUUGGGGGUUUUUUUGGGAGUUUUUGGGGGUUUUUUGGGAUUUUUUUUGGAAUUUUCUGGGAUUUUUUUGGGGAUUUUUUGGGGUUUUUUUGGAUUUUUUUGGGAGUUUUUGGGGUUUUUUUUUUUAAUAUUUUUUUGAAUUUUUUUGGAUUUUUUUGGGGUUUUUUGGGGGGAUUUUGGGGUAUUUUUGGGGUUUCUGGGGUUGUUUCUGGGGUUUUUGGGGUUCCCAGACCCCAUUUUUGGGGUCCCCCCCUAGAUGAGGUCCAUCAGGAUGUUCUCCUCCACCACCCUGAGGGUCUGGAGACCCCAAAUUUGGGGGGGUUCCUGUGUUUUUUUGGGGUGUUUUGGGGUUCCUGGGGGAUUUUUUGGGUAUUUUUGGGUGUUUUUGGGGUUGUUUUUGGGGUUCCUGGGGUUGUUUUUGGGGUUCCCCCCUAGAUGAGGUCCAUCAGGAUGUCCUCCUCCACCAUCCCAAGGGGUCUGGAGACCCCAAAUUUGGGGGUUCCUGGGAGAUUUUUGGGGUAACUUUGGGGUGUUUUGCGGAUUUUUCUGGGUAUUUUUGGGGUUUCUGGGGGUAUUUUGGGGUUGUUUUUGGGGUUUUUGGGGUUCCCAGACCCCAUUUUUGGGGUCCCCCCUAGAUGAGGUCCAUCAGGAUGUCCUCCUCCAUCACCCCAGGGGUCUGGAGACCCCAAAUUUGGGGGUUCCUGGGGGAUUUUUGGGGUAAUUUUGGGGUUCCUGGAGGAUUUUUGGGGUAAUUUUGGGUUGUUUUGGGGUAUUUUGGGGUGUUUUUGGAGUUGUUUUUGGGGUUUUUGGGGUUCCCAGACCCCAUUUUUGGG
ensembl:lncRNA